UUGUCGACAGCUUGUGAACGGGUUUGUAACAACUUGUUUGCAGUCGACCUGUAACAACUUGUGCGUUUUUAUGUACUGCAACAUGGUACUCGGCGAAAUGUUUCACUAAUUCAGGGUUUAUUUUAAGAAGAAUUUAGAACUGCAUAUAUAGGGAUGUUACGAAGGCAACGGGUGUUUGACUGGGGGGGGGGGGAGUCGAAGGACUUUUUACCUGCAUAUAGGAGGUGAUAGAAUAAUG